rnacentral:tRNA from 1 species
GGAGAUGUAGCUCAAUGGUAGAAUACUUGCUUAGCACAUGCAAGACUCUGGGUUCAAUUCCCAGCACCA